UACAGAGGGGGCAAGCGUUGUUCGGAAUUACUGGGCGUAAAGGGCGCGUAGGCGGCCUUCUAAGUCAGACGUGAAAUCCCCAGGCUCAACCUGGGAACUGCGUCUGAUACUGGAUGGCUUGAAUCCGGGAGAGGGAUGCAGAAUUCCAGGUGUAGCGGUGAAAUGCGUAGAUAUCUGGAGGAAUACCGGUGGCGAAGGCGGCAUCCUGGACCGGCAUUGACGCUGAGACGCGAAAGCGUGGGGAGCGAACAGG
rnacentral:rRNA from 1 species